UUUGGUUUUCGAUCAUUCGGGAGCGUUUGAGAACCAAGGUACGACUGUAGAUGAAUAAACGAGUAAAUUAAGUUAAUUUGGAAUAUGCUUAAAAAUUUAAGGAACCGCAGAAAAGGGGGGAAGGAAGUUGAGUUUUGAAAUGUUAAAAUGAUUGUAAAAUUAUUGAAAUGUAUAAAAUUGAAAAUCAUAAAUAAAAUAAAAAGGAUUCAUUUCUCAGUGGGGCCUGUUCUCCAGACUGAAUGUUGGAAGAUUUAGCCCAGAUAAAAGAAAGUACGUUGUCACACAACGCUUUAUUAAACUAUGAAACAACCUCUGUUAACCACUCGUUGAUGGGUAAGUGGGGAGCUGGGCAGGAGAGGGUUUGGCAAUCCUCAUGCUUUGCUUCCCCUAUGAAUGUCUAGCGAUGCAGAAACCCAGAGUGCUAACACUUCUUUUACUUCAGCCAUGCAGAAAUUUGCCUCAAGCUACAUUACAGUGUCAAAACCCCGCUGAGGCCAACAUUUACACAUGACCCAAACAGGAACAGAAAGUCGAGUGCUUUCUCUCUCCUGGUUGCGUAGUAGGAACGCAUGAGAAAGGUCACACUUUGGUGGUUGUUUUUUUAAAAUAAAAAUAGAUAAAACUUGCAGGUCGUGCGCCUCUGUUUUGUCACUGGGACAAUCUGGGUGGUGACAAGUCAGGAAUGGGGUGUAAUUGGCCUUAAAUUGUUACAAGUUUUUGAUCACCCACUUUUGUUGUACCACGGAGUCUCUAGUGGAAUAAACGAGACAAAUAUCUAAAUCCCCCAAAUGCAAAAUUCUUACCAAAGUUCAAAACUCAUUACACAGUACCCAAAAAGGGUUUGGGUUUGAUAUCCCGCUUUAUCACUACCCGAAAGAGUCUCAAAGCGGCUAACAUUCUCCUUUCCCUUCCUCCCCCACAACAAACACUGUGUGAGGUGAGUGGGGCUGAGAGACUUCACAGAAGUGUGACUAGCCCAAGGUCACCCAGCGGCUGCAUGUAGAGGAGCGGAGACGCGAACCUGGUUCCCCAGAUUAUGAGUCUGUCGCUCUUAACCACUACACCACACUGGCACUACACCACACUGACCAAGGUUUCAAGAUCUAGUUCCCAAGUGCAAUUGAAGCGAUUCAUGUGAUCAGUUUGGGCUAGAUUUAUUAGGUGAAGGGAAUUAAAAUGCAGCUUGCCAGCUUUGCUGCCAACUCAUCUAUGAUUAAAUAGUUACAGCUCCUAUCUCCUGUUGCGUACAGAAGUUGUACCAAUAGGUAUUAAAUACUUGGUGAGAUGCCAGAAUCAAUCCCAGCUGACCUUCCCACAUGACGAACUUUUGGGGUGGCAAUUUAACUUGCUGCUGUCAUCCUGAGGGCACCUAACCUUGCCAGUACUUACCUGUUCUAGAGUACAGGUUCUAGAGUUGAGAGAUGUUUAUAUUUAUCAUAUUUUGUAUCAUAGGAACAUUGCCUUGUACCAAGUCAGAUCAAUGGUCCAUUUACAUGGUCUACAGCAGGCAUGUCCAACCAGUUGAUAGUAAUCUAAUGGCUGAUCACUGGGCAUCCCUGGUCGAUCGCGGGAUCCUGAUUGAUCGCCCCAAAAGGGAAAAAACCUCAGCAACUCUGGUCUGUCGUCCCCCAAAAAAGCUCCACAACUUUGGUCAAUCCAAUGGGUAAAUCACUGCCAGUUUUUUAAUAGUGGGAUGAGAUCACAAUCUCUUGGGAGUUGGACCUGCCUGGUCUACACUGAUAAGCAGCUAAAGUUAGAGCUCAACUGCUCUAUGGAAUUUCAAUCUGGAUGUCAGGGUUUACCUAGUCAGUGGAACGAGUGCAGGCAGCCCUUCUAUUUAAGAUUUUCCCUGUCCCACGCUGCGUACCUUACACAGCCCUGUGUUUAGAGGGAGGCCAACAUAAGCUAGAUACAGUUGCCAGGACUUCUUUUAUGCUGGCUAAACAUUUGUUUUUCAGCAGACAAAGAUACUUUACUUAGCAAAGUUCUGCCAGACUCCUUCCCUUCCCCAGGGCUACAACUGUUUUGCACAAAGAUACGGCAACUCGGGCUUUCAGAGGAUCUCCUGGGUGCUGUGGCUUUCCCAGUCGCCAAGGCCAUGUUAAAAACUAGGCUAUGGGACAUAGAUCGCCAGGAACCAAUCUCAACUGCAGAAAAAACAUGUUCCCCUCUUUAUUUUCGACUCUCUUGGGCGCAGGAAUUUAACCUUAAUUAUUUACAAUUUUUAUUUAACCCGCAAGAAAGGGCUUUUUCGCUGGCUAGGUUCAAUCCUAAUCCUUCUAACCUCCUUUGGGGUAAGUCUGCGGGUUUGGCAGAAAGAGAUAGGAUCUGCCCAUGCGAUGCCCACCUGGUGGAAACUGUAGCUCACAUGGCCCUUAAAUGUAAAAUGUAUGAUGAUCUCUGCCAACAAUUUCUAGACCAUCUAUCUAUUCCAACAUGGAAACCAGAGACAGAGGUUAUACGCUUCUUAUUACAGGGGAGAGACCAGAAGCUCACCAAGACAGUAGCUAAGUUCCUCUAUUUGAUUUUUUGUCGCCGAAGUACGCUACAGGAUCCUGCCCUUGCUGGAGACCCACAGAGAUGAAACAGAUUGCUUGCCUCUUCUUCCCUUUGGCAAAUGACUGUAUUGUUGAAAUGGUGACGAGAUCGCACUGGCCUAUUUAUUCUGAAUGUUUGUAUGUGAU